rnacentral:rRNA from 1 species
GAUGAACGCUGGCGGCGUGCCUAAUACAUGCAAGUCGAGCGAACAGAUGAGGAGCUUGCUCCUUUGACGUUAGCGGCGGACGGGUGAGUAACACGUGGAUAACCUACUUAUAAGACUGGGAUAACUUCGGGAAACAGGAGCUAAUACCGGAUAAUAUAUUGAACCGCAUGGUUCAAUAGUGCUAGACGGUUUUGCUGUCACUUAUAGAUGGUUCCGCGCCGCAUUAGCUAGUUGGUAAGGUAACGGCUUACCAAGGCGACGAUGCGUAGCCGACCUGAGAGGGUGAUCGGCCACACUGGAACUGAGACACGGUCCAGACUCCUACGGGAGGCAGCAGUAGGGAAUCUUCCGCAAUGGGCGAAAGCCUGACGGAGCAACGCCGCGUGAGUGAUGAAGGUCUUCGGAUCGUAAAACUCUGUUAUUAGGGAAGAACAAAUGUGUAAGUAACUAUGCACGUCUUGACGGUACCUAAUCAGAAAGCCACGGCUAACCACGUG